GAUGGAAUGGCUGUGUGGGGCUUGGUUGCUGCCUGGGGUUAAACCAUCACCUGGGUUAGUAGGAGCCCUGUAACAGACUUGAAAAAUUGUAAAGUGAGUAAGUGACUGCAGAGGAGUGGUGGCAUUUUUGUAUUUUUCAAAAAUCUUCCAACUGACAAUUCUUCAUGUAAUUAAGGACUGCAUAUUCAGUACCAUUUAUCCUCUUUUUUUUUCCCCCACUGCUGUCUAUCUGUUGAUUUUGUUAAGGGCUUCUUUUUCUGGUUGAGGGAAAACUGAGGCUUUUUUAUUUCUUCUGUGUAUACACAUCUUUUACAUUGUCUUGAAAAAGUGUGUUUGUUGUAAGCAUAUUUAAUGGCUCUUUCCAAAGACAUCUGGCAGGUUAGAAAGCAGAUCCAAUACUCUUAUGUUAUUAACUGCUGCAGAAGGUAGCACAGGGGAAGUGACAGCAAAAAGGGAAUUACUUUCCUAGUUACCAAUGAGCAGGAGUGAAAGAUGGGACUUACAGAAAGCCAUUGAAAAUUCCAGACUCUUCCUGUAACAGGAUUUAAGCUCUGCUUCUGCUCCUAACCUUCCCAAGGACAAAACCCUUGAGAUAACCUUUCACGUGAUCACGAUAAACUGUUUGCUUUGCCACAUUACAGAAAUGCCGUUUUUUGGUUAAUGCUGCAUUUGCAAACUCCUGAGGAAAAGCUGUGAUGCAUACAGGGUGUCAAGGGCUGCAUGAGCUGAUAUUAAUGCCAGCUGUGAUUUAGUCUUGCUGCUCAGGUGUUUUUGCGGCUUCUUGGGUAACAUCUGUCUGAGGGAGUGAUACCAGACUGCCAUUGCCUUCCACUUGCACCCUGGUUUUGAGAAUAGUAAUGAGAGCAAGCAAGGGUAAAGCACAGGUUUUAAGAUGUCUUCAGUGAAGAAUUGCUGAAUAUGAGAAACAUCUACUACUGCCUUCUAGUAAAUUGAAAAGCAAGUUCAACUGUGAAGAUUGGUUGGGUGAUAGCCAAAGGCAAGCAGCAGUCGUGCAUCUUGUUUUGUGAGACAAUCUAGUUUUAAGCUUUGUGGGUAGAAGUUUGACCCUGUAAGCACAUUAAAUAAUUACUAUUUCUGUAAACCCAGGGUUUGUUCAAACCAGAUCCUUCGUACUACAGAAAAAAAUCCUCAGAGAUACUUCUUACCCUGCAGCUGAUACAGAUGUGCCGAAAGUUUAACUGCACCAAGGAGCAACAGACUGCAUCCUAAGGUAUUACCACCUUUUCCAGCCCAUUCUCUACUGGGCUGCUGUAAUGAUGGACUAAUGCUGCAUUUGCACAGAAUCCCAAACCCACACAGGUGUAGGAAUGGGCAUCCUUUGCUUUCAGGUAAGAUGGGUGUGUCUGCCUGUGCACACACCAUGCACAACAAGCAUCUUCUGCAUGUCUGAGAACAGAGUGAAAAUGUGAUCCAACUUCCAAGCCGAUUGUGCAAGAGGAAGGUGAGACCUCUGCACAGGGCUGGUGCCUGUCUGGGUGUAGGUGACCUUCCCCAGCCCUGCAGCUCCAGCUGCCCUCUCUCCAUUCCAGCCCCUCUCCGCUGGGCCGGGCAGUACCGCAGCACACGCGCAGCACAACGUGAAGUCACUGAAAUGACAAGCGGUGGAAAGUGUCUGUACCAGCCACAGAGGGGUGCAGGUGCUUGGCAGCAGCAGCACUUUGAUCCUGUUCACACCAGCACGCCUCAGUUCUCACAUCCAGUGUUCUCCGUGGAGACACUCAGACAUGUUUUGCUUAAAUGAAGGCACUGCACCAUCUGAAUCAGUUUUUGUGAUACAGCAGCCCCAGUGAUUGGUAAGGACUGGGGUAGAGAACACAAGUUGACUUUAAUUGCGGUGGGAAGUGUUCCCUGCAAGCUCCAGCAGCUUUCUGGAGCAGUGCCUCACAAAUUUACCCACUUCCAUGUCGCCGGGACCACAGUUCAGUCCCGUGUUUCCAACCCUUGCUUUCCUAGUGCAGGACACUGAACUGGGUACUCAGCAGUACCUCUAACCUUAAGGUAACCAGCAAGAUCCAAACAUACACUUUACCUCAUCCAGAAACUGUAGGAAGGCUACAAGGGAAAAACCUCCUUUAUUUCAACAUUUUAAUGAAAUAUAAGUUUUUCUACAUGAACAAACAUCUGGUUUUACUGGCAGAAGCAUCUAGAAGUUCAUAACUCCAAACCCAGACUUAAGAAGCUUCCAAACGUUUAAUCUCUAAAUCUUGGUUAAGUGGACUUCAUCAUUUUGUUGUUUCCUUGAAAGAGGUUAGUGGCUUGGGGCAGUAUCCUAUCCAGAA